UCCGAGUUGACCCCGGCAGUCUCCCAUGAGUCCCCACCACACCGAAGUGCCGUGCUGGCAACAUGGAACGAGGGUUGCGCUCGUUGCGGGACUUAACCCAACAUCUCACGACACGAGCUGACGACAACCAUGCACCACCUGUGAACCGGCCCCAAAGGGGAAACCACAUUUCUGCGGCGAUCCGGCCCAUGUCAAGCCUUGGUAAGGUUCUUCGCGUUGCAUCGAAUUAAUCCGCAUGCUCCGCCGCUUGUGCGGGCCCCCGUCAAUUCAUUUGAGUUUUAACCUUGCGGCCGUACUCCCCAGGCGGUCGACUUAUCGCGUUAACUGCGCCACGAAGUCCGCGAGGGACCCAACGGCUAGUCGACAUCGUUUACGGCGUGGACUAC
rnacentral:misc_RNA from 1 species